rnacentral:rRNA from 1 species
GAUGAACGCUGACAGAAUGCUUAACACAUGCAAGUCAACUUGAAUUUGGGUUUUUAACCUAGAUUUGGGUGGCGGACGGGUGAGUAACGCGUAAAGAACUUGCCUCACAGCUAGGGACAACAUUUAGAAAUGAAUGCUAAUACCUGAUAUUAUGAUUUUAAGGCAUCUUAGAAUUAUGAAAGCUAUAAGCACUGUGAGAGAGCUUUGCGUCCCAUUAGCUAGUUGGAGAGGUAACAGCUCACCAAGGCGAUGAUGGGUAGCCGGCCUGAGAGGGUGAACGGCCACAAGGGGACUGAGACACGGCCCUUACUCCUACGGGAGGCAGCAGUGGGGAAUAUUGGACAAUGGACCGAGAGUCUGAUCCAGCAAUUCUGUGUGCACGAUGAAGUUUUUCGGAAUGUAAAGUGCUUUCAGUUGGGAAGAAAGAAAUGACGGUACCAACAGAAGAAGUGACGGCUAAAUACGUGCCAGCAGCCGCGGUAAUACGUAUGUCACGAGCGUUAUCCGGAUUUAUUGGGCGUAAAGCGCGUCUAGGUGGUUAUGUAAGUCUGAUGUGAAAAUGCAGGGCUCAACUCUGUAUUGCGUUGGAAACUGUAUAACUAGAGUACUGGAGAGGUAAGCGGAACUACAAGUGUAGAGGUGAAUUCGUAGAUAUUUGUAGGAAUGCCGAUGGGGAAGCCAGCUUACUGGACAGAUACUGACGCUAAAGCGCGAAAGCGUGGGUAGCAAACAGG